rnacentral:lncRNA from 1 species
AAAAUCUUCUAUCCCGCUCAUUCCACACAACCCAAAGAAUAACCAAAGGAAUGAAUCCCAAAAACUUUUUCCAACUCGCUAUAUCCUUCCAUGCCCAAAUUUCAUCCUUGAUAGUACCCACCAACACCCAGUUGUACCCCAAGAUCCCAAAAGCCAUACACCAUAAACUAUAAGCAAUAAGAUACCAAAGAAGAAUGUGAUCACAGGUCUCCACCAUAUUCUUGCAUAGACGACACUAGUUCAUUAUAGUCUUCCCACAUCUCGUAAGCUUGUCUAUGGUUAAAAUGCUUCCACGAGCUACUUCCCAAGUAAAAAAACCAAUUCAUGGAGGUGCAUUUAGUCUCCAUAUCGGUCUAAAUGGAAAAUUUUCUUUGUUAGACUCUCUCUUGAUUAGAUUUUUGUAAAAACCCCACAGUGAAUUGAUCCAUAGUGCUAAGAGUCCACAAAGGUUGAUCUUCAUCCUUGUUGCGUGAAAUUGAAGAUAAAACACUUAGCAAUGAUUCAUAUUCGUCGAUCUCUUGAUCACUAAGAUUACGUAUCACCUCCACAUGUCAUUCCCUCCUACCCUCCCCCUCAUUGAACACUUCUUUGACGGAACUGUCUUUAUCACGUACUAUAGUAAAAAUCAGUGGGAACCUCACUCUUAAGGUUCCAUCAUCAAUCCAAAUGUCAGACCAGAAACAUAUACUCUCCCCAUCACCCACUCUCCAUUGAAGGCACUCAUGAAAUUUCU